rnacentral:sRNA from 1 species
ACUGUACAUUUGGAACCAUUUUGAAAUAAUUUUCAACUAUUUGUUGCCAAAAAACAUGGCUCGAAGAGUGGGUAAGAGUCGAAGUCCUGAAAUAAAUCACACAAGGCGUUCGUUGUGUUUUGAGUAAUUCCGCGGAAUACGCAGCGAUGCAGCCAUGAAUACUUUCAAACAGCUACAGAAAUCUGAAGAAAGAAAUAAGGAACAGAAACUAAAGAAAAAUCUUAAGAGAGCAAUAAACAACAUGGUUGACAA